rnacentral:lncRNA from 1 species
UAAAUUCCAAGCUCUCAAUAGUUUAACGAAUCAAAUUUUUUCCUAAAUUGUGACUAUACAUCCAAGUAGAAUUCGACAAAUAGAGCAACGAAUGAUGCUACCCAUUCGGAUAACAACAUCUUCACAAUUAUUCUCAAAAAUCACUAGGCAUGGUAAAAUUAUAAUUAAUGAAGCAUUUUUUUAUAAAUAAAAAACAUUUGACAUUUUAUUGCAGAAUGAUCUAAAUCAAUAGAUUUAUUGGUAUUUGCUACUACAUCGAUGAAAAGAGUCAAAUUAGCUAAGGUUUUGCCAAGCGAGCAGCCGCGGCCAGGGCCUGAUGGCAGCACUUAGGGUCAUAUCCAAACUCAUGUUCACAGCACGGCGGACGACCAAAUGCAUGACUCCCAUUCAACAGAGCCAUUGCAAUGGUGACUAGUAAAGCCACCACUACCAUCUUCUUCAUAAAAAUUUUCAUAAGACCUCCUUCCAUUUCAAUACUCUAAUUCACUUUUCUUGAGUUUUUUCUCCUCUUCAG